GCAUCCGUAGCUCAAUUGGAUAGAGCACCGGUCUUCGGAACCGGGGGUUGGAGGUUCGAAUCCUCCCGGGUGUA
rnacentral:tRNA from 2 species